rnacentral:lncRNA from 1 species
CUCUCUCUCUCACACUCACUCUGUUCCCGCCUAGAAAAUAUUACUCUCUAUAUCUGUCUCUCUCUCACUGUCUCUCUCUCACUGUCUCUCUCACUGUCUCUCUCUCUCUCUCUCUGUCGCUCACACUUACACUGUUCCUGCCUAGAAAAUAUUACUCUCUCUAUAUCUGUCUCUCUCUCUAUAUCUGUCUCUCUCUCUCUCUCUGUCUCUCUCUCUGUCUCUCACACUCACUCUGUUCCUGCCUAGAAAAUAUUACUCUCUAUAUCUCUCUCUCUCUCUCACUGUCUCUCUCUCUCUGUAUCUCUCUCACUGUCUCUCUCUCUGUCUCUCACACUCAGUCUGUUCCCGCCUAGAAAAUAUUACUCUCUAUAUCUCUCUCUCUCUCUCACUGUCUCUCUCUCUCUCUCUGUAUCUCUCUCACUGUCUCUCUCUCUGUCUCUCACACUCUCUGUUCCCGCCUAGAAAAUAUUACUCUCUAUAUCUCUCUCUCUCUCUCACUGUCUCUCUCUCUCUCUCUGUAUCUCUCUCACUGUCUCUCUCUCUGUCUCUCACACUCACACUGUUCCUGCCUAGAAAAUAUUACUCUCUAUAUAUCUCUCUCUCUCUCUCUCUCUCUCACUGUCUCUCUCACUGUCUCUCUCACUGUCUCUCUCUCUGUAUCUCUCUCUAUAUAUCUCAGACACACAGACUCACAUUGUUCCCGCCUAGAAAACAUUACUCUCUAUAUCUGUCUCUCUCUCACUGUCUCUCUCACUGUCUCUCUCACUGUCUCUCACACUCACACUGUUCCCGCCUAGAAAAUAUUACUCUCUAUAUCUGUCUCUCUCUCACUGUCUCUCUCUCUGUAUCUCUCUCUAUAUAUCUCAGACACACACAGACUCACAUUGUUCCCGCCUAGAAAACAUUACUCUCUCUCUCGGAAGACACACACUGUUAGGGUAAUGAUGAUGUUGAUGUGAGUUAGGGUAAUGUUAGGGUAAUGUUAGGGUAAUGGUUGAUGUGAGUUAGGGUAAUGUUAGGGCAAUGAUGAUGUGAGUUAGGGUAAUGGUUGAUGUGAGUUAGGGUAAUGUUAGGGCAAUGAUAAUGUGAGUUAGGGUAAUGGUGGUAGAAGUCGUAGAGGGGGGAGUAUUGAGAGAUGGUUUAGAGAGGGUAAUGUUAGGGUAAUGGAUGCUGGGUGUUGUGUAGGUCGUUGCUCGGGUCGUUUUUUUGAUCCUCAGGGUUUGGCAAAGGUCAAAGGUUUGCUGCCGCAACAAAGCCAAAGGCAUCAUGGGAAAAUAUCUGACUUGCACUGAAACAGGAAAAAAUGUUGAGGAGAAAAACGUUAUCGUGAACAUUUAUAGUCUCUGAUCAGUUUAAUAUAAACAAAAAGGAACACUUUUCACUUCAUACAAGUUUGUAGCCUAUCGGUCUUUGUUUGAGAGACUGUGUUUGAACUGAACCAGCGUUAUUGAUCACCGGGUGACUGAACCAGCGUUAUUGAUCACCGGGAGACUGAACCAGAGUUAUUGAUCACCGGGAGACUGUGUUUGAACUGAACCAGAGUUAUUGAUCACCAGGAGACUGUGUUUGAACUGAACCAGAGUUAUUGAUAACCGGGAGACUGUGUUUGAACUGAACCAGAGUUAUUGAUCACCGGGAGACUGAACCAGAGUUAUUGAUAACCGGGAGACUGUGUUUGAACUGAACCAGCGUUAUUGAUCACCGGGAGACUGUGUUUGAACUGAACCAGCGUUAUUGAUCACCGGGAGACUGUGUUUGAACUGAACCAGAGUUAUUGAUCACCAGGAGACUGUGUUUGAACUGAACCAGAGUUAUUGAUCACCGGGAGACUGUGUUUGAACUGAACCAGCGUUAUUGAUCACCGGGAGACUGUGUUUGAACUGAACCAGAGUUAUUGAUCACCGGGAGACUGAACCAGCGUUAUUGAUAACCGGGAGACUGUGUUUGAACUGAACCAGCGUUAUUGAUCACCGGGAGACUGUGUUUGAACUGAACCAGAGUUAUUGAUCACCGGGAGACUGAACCAGCACUGAACCAGAGUUAUUGAUCACCGGGAGACUGAACCAGCGUUAUUGAUCACCGGGAGACUGAACCAGAGUUAUUGAUCACCGGGAGACUGUGUUUGAACUGAACCAGAGUUAUUGAUCACCGGGAGACUGAACCAGCGUUAUUGAUAACCGGGAGACUGAACCAGCACUGAACCAGAGUUAUUGAUCACCGGGAGACUGUGUUUGAACUGAACCAGCGUUAUUGAUCACCGGGAGACUGUGUUUGAACUGAACCAGCGUUAUUGAUCACCGGGAGACUGAAGGAGUCACUGUGAGUGCAAUAAGCCCUGUCCACAACACACACAACUUAACUAGUCCACAUUCCCCAACUAACUUAACUAGUCAAUAGUCAAGAGGAAGGGGCUGGGGUCUAACCAGAGGAUUUUCUUUGGAAUAAAUUUGUCUACGUUAAAAGUUGUGUGUGUGUGUGAGCUGUCAUUGUGAAUAGUGUUAUCAGGGACGUCAUUCUGAAAGGACAAUCUCAGAGAUACCUUACGAGGUCAACAAUCAAUAAGUUUUUUUUUUUCUGACUGAAUUCAACCAUGAUAUUAUUCCGAUAUUAGUUAUUUAAAUCCUCCGCAUCCAGUCUGUUGUAGAAAAAAGGACAAAGCAUUCAUCUCCACAGCGGCGUACUUACACGGUGUGGCCACCAAUCAGGAAGGGUGGCGCCCCCCAAAAAAAGGAUCAAUCACGGUGAUUUAUUAAAUCGUUUUCUGUGACUCUGCUGUUUUUUAAUGUGAUGAUUGAUUACUGAAGUCAUGAGUUUAGUAACUGAAAUGGAAAUACGUGAUUACAUUUAUUAUUUUUUUUGGGGGGGGGGGGGUCCAACUAUCGAUAUCCUACAUAUCCAUCGAUCAUCAAUAAUAUCCAUUUAGUUAGUGCAUGACUAAUUUAUUGGAUUAUAAAUAUAUUAUUUCUUUGAGUAAUAAAACACCUGGGGG